UUUUUAUUCCUCCGUUUCUUUUCCUCUUCCGCGAGCCCGAGCCCUUCUCCCCGACGCCGCCGAUUUUCCUCCUCUCUGCCCUAACCGCCGGCCGGCGGAUUCCUCCUCUCCGAGAGCACAAAAACGCCGGCCACUUCUUCUCCCUUUCCUCCUCUCCUCUGCCGGAGCCCUAGCACCGCCGCCCGACCGCCUGCCCGAGCCAAACUCCUCUCCUCUGCUUGCCCUAUCCACCCGACACCGAGCCACUGCCGUCGGCGACACACAGAGCAGCGCCGGUCAUCUUCCUCCUUUCUCCCAAGUCCGACUUCUCUGUGCCCUUCUUCCUCUCUGCCGUGUCUUGGCACAGCGCCGAUCGCCUCUCCCUCCGCCCGGAGCAGCGCUGCCGCCGGCCUUCCUCGGCCCUAGAGCUUUCCCUCCGAUCGUCGAGCAGAGCUGUGCCCUAGCCUCAGCCGCGACACCCAUCUCCUCGGCGCUACCAAUCUGAUUUGUUGUUCAUUGUGCCCUGGUUUUCAUUGCUGAUCCGAGAUUGGGGUUUCCUCAAUUCCAGUCAUCUCAUUACUGAUUGGUUCUGUUGCCAUUACAGAACGGCUGAAGAAGAAUUGAGGAUAUUGAUUCGAGACGGUGUCUUGACGGGGGAUCUGUUUUGGAUACGAUCCUUUUCGAUUGGAGGCGGGU